UAGGAAAUGUUAGGAAUUAAGAGUCUUCAUCAUCCUAUCCCUCUUCAUCUUUCCUUUCGAGCAUUUCAACAAAACCUCCCUAUACAAACUUGAAAAAUUGAGCAUAAUCAUCAAAUCAAAGAUGAAAUAGUUUAUACAUAGGGAAAUGAACUUAGGAAUGGUUCGGUGAGUUGGUUGGAGCUCAGAUCCAUGUGAAGUAGGUUGGGGAGGGCCGAAAGGGAAUAGGGGAUGAAGCUGGAAGAAGGAGUUGGAAGUGAGGGAGAGGUUUGUGAGGAAAAUUAGGUCUCUGAUGGAGGAAGGGAUUUCGCCAGCGAGGACGUUGGAGGAGAGGUUGAGAAGUUGGAGGGAGUCGAGCAUGGUGAUGGAGGGAGGAUGUUGCCUUUGAGGCGACGAGGUCGAGGCGAGGAGGCGAGGAGGCAGUGAGGCGGCGAGGACUCUGUCAAAGGGUACCUAUGACCUUGGGGUAGUUGGGAAAGUGGAUGUUGGAGAAGAGGGAAAAGGCGUGGCGGUUGAGGGGGAGGUCGAUGUAGAGGGUGUAGGCGGCGGGGUGGAGGUGGCGGUGGGGAAGGACGCGGGUGGAGAGGAGGGAAAGGGCAAGCAAGGGAGCUAUGGCAAGAGCGAUUUGAUUUUCUUUGCUUGCUCAGUUAAAAGUUAACGUAGGGUUGGAUGCAUCUUGUUUUGGAAAACAAAUGUAGGGAGGGAUACUACUUGGGCCAUCAACGAUUGCGAGGAAUGAGAAAUUCCUGAACACGAUUUUCCCCAAGAAAAGCUUGACUGUGCUUGAAACAUUGGCCAAUCUGGGUCUUCUGUUCUUCUUGUUUCUAGUGUUUCUCUUGCCAUCUCUGUAAAAUCUGCAGAUUGGUUCAUCAUCAUUAUGUUUUUGUCAUAA